rnacentral:rRNA from 1 species
CCUACGGGAUGCAGCAGUGAGGAAUAUUGGUCAAUGGACGAGAGUCUGAACCAGCCAAGUAGCGUGAAGGAUGACUGCCCUCUGGGUUGUAACCUUCUUUUAUAUGGGAAUAAAAUGUUUCACGUGUGGGAUUUUGUAUGUACCAUAUGAAUAAGGAUCGGCUAACUCGGUGCCAGCAGCCGCGGUAAUACGGAGGGGCCGAGCGUUAUCCGGAUUUAUCGGGUUUAAGGGGCGCGUAGGUGGAUUGUUAAGUCAGUUGUGAAUGUUUGCGGCUAAACCGUAGAAUGGCAGUUGAAACUGGCAAUCUUGAGUACAGUAGGGGUAAGCGGAAUUCGUGGUGUAGCGGUGAAAUGCUUAGAUAUCAGGAAGAACUCCGAUGGCGAAGGCAGCUCACUGGACUGCAACUGACACUGAGGAGCGAAAGUGUGGGUAUCAAACAGGAUUAGAUACCCGUGUAGUC